rnacentral:rRNA from 1 species
GUAGGUGGCAAGCGUUGUCCGGAAUUAUUGGGCGUAAAGCGCGCGCAGGCGGGUCCUUUAAGUCUGAUGUGAAAGCCCACGGGCUCAACCGUGGAGGGUCAUUGGAAACUGGGGGACUUGAGUACAGAAGAGGAAAGCGGAAUUCCAAGUGUAGCGGUGAAAUGCGUAGAGAUCUGGAGGAACACCAGUGGCGAAGGCGGCUUUCUGGUCUGUAACUGACGCUGAGGCGCGAAAGCGUGGGGAGCAAACAGGAUUAGAUACCCUGGUAGUCCACGCCGUAAACGAUGAGUGCUAAGUGUUAGGGGGUUUCCGCCCCUUAGUGCUGCAGCUAACGCAUUAAGCACUCCGCCUGGGGAGUACGGCCGCAAGGCUG